rnacentral:rRNA from 1 species
GGAAUCUUGCGCAAUGGGCGAAAGCCUGACGCAGCAACGCCGCGCGCGGGAAGAAGGCUUUCGGGCUGUAAACCGCUUUCAGUAGGAACGAAACUGACGGUACCUACAGAAGAAGGAGCGGCCAACUAUGUGCCAGCAGCCGCGGUGACACAUAGGCUCCAAGCGUUGUCCGGAUUUAUUGGGCGUAAAGAGCUCGUAGGCGGUUGAGUAAGUCGGGUGUGAAAACUUUGGGCUUAACCCAAAGAUGCCACUCGAUACUGCUUUGACUUGAGUUCGGUAGGGGAGUGGGGAAUUCCUUGUGUAGCGGUGAAAUGCGCAGAUAUAAGGAGGAACACCGGUGGCGAAGGCGCCACUCUGGGCCGAUACUGACGCUGAGGAGCGAAAGCGUGGGGAGCAAACAGGAUUAGAUACCCUGGUAGUCCACGCGGUAAACGGUGGUCACUAGGUGUGGGUCUCUUCAAACGAGAUCUGCGCCGUCGCUAACGCAUUAAGUGACCCGCCUGGGGAGUACGGUCGCAAGACUAAAACUCAAAGGAAUUGACGG